AUUGAACGCUGGCGGCAGGCCUAACACAUGCAAGUCGAACGGCAGCACAGUAAGAGCUUGCGCUUACGGGUGGCGAGUGGUGGACGGUGGAGGAAUACAUCGGAAGCAACUUUGGCGUAGGGGAGAACGUAGGGAAACUUACGGUAAUAGCGCAUAGGAACUACGGGUGAAAGCAGGGGACCUGAGGAUCUUGCACGAGCGAAGGAGCCGAUAUCGGAUUAGCUAGUUGGCGGGGUAAAGGCCCACCAAGGCGACGAUCCGUAGCUGGUCUGAGAGGAUGAUCAGCCACACUGGAACUGAGACACGGUCCAGACUCCUACGGGAGGCAGCAGUGGGGAAUAUUGGACAAUGGGCGCAAGCCUGAUCCAGCCAUGCCGCGUGUGUGAAGAAGGUCUUCGGGUUGUAAAGCCCUUUUGUUUGGCAAGAAAAGCAGUAGGUUAAUACCUUGCUGUUCUGACGGUACCCAAAGAAUAAGCACCGGCUAACUUCGUG
rnacentral:rRNA from 1 species